GUCUACGCCCAUACCACCCAGAAUGUGCCUGAUCUCAGAAGAUAGGCAGGGUUGGACCUGGUUGGUGCUUGGAUGGGAGACCAUCUGGGAGUAUCUGGUGCUCUAGAUA
rfam:Equus caballus chromosome 16, whole genome shotgun sequence.